AAGAUCGGGUUGCGGUUUAAGUUG
rnacentral:siRNA from 1 species